CUCCAUGCUGCAACUGGGGCGGGGACUAGGGAAUCCGCGCAGGCCGCGUCGAGUAGAUGGCAUUCUGCGCGGACACGCGAACUCGGCCUGCGAGGCGGCCACCGCUCCGCGUCCUCUCUGCGCUGCUUCCGGUCCGCCUGCUCCUGGCUCCGGGUGUGCCACCUCGUGCGCGGCCUUCAGUUCCGGGCAGAUCUGCCUGUUGAGCCCCUCACGUACUUUAGCCAUGGAGUCCUCUGCUACCCCUGUGUGGUCGGCAUAGAAACAACACUCCUCCCCAAGGCGGCACACAGUCCUCCCUGCUGUAGAAACAGCAAGUCCAUUCCUCGCCUAUUUUGGAGGACAACUUCCGACAGGAUCGGAGAGACUUGGCUAAGCCAGCGAUAGAUCGGCUGGGGCGGUGAGGCCUGGCACACAGCAGACGCUCAACAAAUGCUUGUGGAUUGAGUGUGUGAGGAGGAAGGCAUUGCCUAUGGGAGGACUCUGCAGAGGCUGAGCAUGAAGGCACCUAGGUCUCAGCCCCCCCAUUGCGUCUCGGCAGCAGUGCCUCGGGGAGAGGCCACGGGGAGAGUGGGAGGCCUGGCCUCCGAGAAGUAAGCUGCAGCCAGGGGGAGUGACUGGACCCGGGAAAGCAGAGCUAUGCCACGGGCAGCUGUAGGAAACCCAGGUCUGAGGUGAAGGUGCCGGGUGCAAAUCCAACUCCAGACCCACGGAAGUCACACAGCGCAACAUUAACCAGCGCCGGAGAAGGGACCACAGCUCCCGGGAAGUGUGAUCUGACAGCUGUGUGAGGACAAGCACAGAGAACGGAGCACAGGGACCCCCACCUUUGGUG